rnacentral:rRNA from 1 species
UCCUUAGAUGUUCUGGGCCGCACGCGCGCUACACUGACGGAGCCAACGAGUAUUUUCCUUGUCCGGAAGGACUGGGUAAUCUUGUGAAACUUUGUCGUGCUGGGGAUAGAGCAUUGUAAUUAUUGCUCUUCAACGAGGAAUUCCUAGUAAGCGUGAGUCAUCAGCUCGCGUUGAUUACGUCCCUGCCCUUUGUACACACCGCCCGUCGCUACUACCGAUUGAAUGGCUUAGUGAGCCUUUGGGAUUGGCGGCCAACACCGGCAACGGUAGCUGGCCGCCGAAAACUUAUGCAAACUUGGUCAUUUAGAGGAAGUAAAAGUCGUAACA